rnacentral:rRNA from 1 species
CGGUCUGUCAAGUCGGAUGUGAAAUCCCCGGGCUCAACCUGGGAACUGCAUUCGAAACUGGCAGGCUUGAGUCUUGUAGAGGGGGGUAGAAUUCCAGGUGUAGCGGUGAAAUGCGUAGAGAUCUGGAGGAAUACCGGUGGCGAAGGCGGCCCCCUGGACAAAGACUGACGCUCAGGUGCGAAAGCGUGGGGAGCAAACAGGAUUAGAUACCCUGGUAGUCCACGCCGUAAACGAUGUCUACUUGGAGGUUGUGCCCUUGAGGCGUGGCUUCCGGAGCUAACGCGUUAAGUAGACCGCCUGGGGAGUACGGCCGCAAGGUUAAAACUCAAAUGAAUUGACGGGGGCCCGCACAAGCGGUGGAGCAUGUGGUUUAAUUCGAUGCAACGCGAAGAACCUUACCUGGUCUUGACAUCCACAGAAGAAUCCAGAGAUGGAUUUGUGCCUUCGGGAACUGUGAGACAGGUGCUGCAUGGCUGUCGUCAGCUCG